rnacentral:rRNA from 1 species
UACGGAGGGAGCUAGCAUUGUUCGGAAUUACUGGGCGUAAAGCGCACGUAGGCGGCUUUGUAAGUUAGAGGUGAAAGCCCGGAGCUCAACUCCGGAAUUGCCUUUAAGACUGCAUCGCUAGAAGUGUGGAGAGGUGAGUGGAAUUCCGAGUGUAGAGGUGAAAUUCGUAGAUAUUCGGAAGAACACCAGUGGCGAAGGCGACUCACUGGACAC